UUUUGAAAAAAUGGUGAUAGUCGUUGACUUUAGUACUUUGUUUUCUUUUUGGUGAAUGUUGACUAUAUAUGUAAUGGUGUGAUGGAAACUAUGGUGUGAUGGAAUUGAAACUAUAUGUAAUAGAUGAAUGUUUUGGAGAAAAAUAUGAAUAUUGUAGAUGCUAAUUACUUCAAUUGUUAAUGAAGUUUUGUUAUACAUCUAAAAAUUGUGGAUUUGUUGUAAGGACUGAGAUUUUGGCAGUGCAGCUAAACUCUCUGUUGACGAUAUUUUUGUGUG
rnacentral:lncRNA from 1 species